ACAUGCAAGUCGAGGGGCAGCAUGAAGGUAGCAAUACCUUGAUGGCGACCGGCGCACGGGUGCGUAACACGUAUCCAAUCUACCCAUGGCUCGGGAAUAGCCUUCUGAAAGGAAGAUUAAUGCCCGAUGGUCUCAUAGUGGGACAUCCCACAAUGAGUAAAGAUUUAUCGGCGAUGGAUGAGGAUGCGUCCGAUUAGAUAGUUGGCGGGGCAACGGCCCACCAAGUCGACGAUCGGUAGGGCUCUGAGAGGAAGGUCCCCCACACUGGAACUGAGACACGGUCCAGACUCCUACGGGAGGCAGCAGUGAGGAAUAUUGGUCAAUGGUCGAGAGACUGAACCAGCCAAGUAGCGUGAGGGAUGACUGCCCUACGGGUUGUAAACCUCUUUUGUUGGGGAAUAAAGUGCGGGACGUGUCCCGCUUUGUAUGUACCUUACGAAUAAGCAUCGGCUAAUUCCGUGCCAGCAGCCGC
rnacentral:rRNA from 1 species